rnacentral:lncRNA from 1 species
CUUUGUUUCUUCAGUUUUUUGCUGACGUUGGGGUCACUGGCUAGGCGGCGGGCGGCCUCCGUAAUCUGGGACUGAAUGGCAAACUCUCGUUCCAGGCGUUCCAGCUCAGCUUCCUGUGGGAGGGAAAGCACCGGUUUGGGUUACUGGGGAUGCUGAGCAGGGAGACCCUCAUCCUUCCCUCCCCUGUCCCAAGGCAAGUCCAGUUCCAUGGGAGACACUCUUAAGAGUAGCCCCACUCCUAAAAUCUGCACCCACUGAAGUCCCCAGGCACACCCACUGUUGUAACCCUUGCUCCUGUUACUUUCUGAAGACAAGUGUUGGUGUGAACGCUGCCGCCAUCGCUGAGAACAGAGUUCCCACGAUGCAGGUUUAGGGAUCGCUUGGCUGUGUUUCGACUGUCUCCAGCAAGGUUCAUCAAGACAAACCAAAGCCUUUGGAGAGAUUCAGAGCCCAAGUGACUGUCACUUCCUUUCCAUUUUGGAUGUAGGAUGCAGCAGGAUUUUUAGUUUCUUUAUGCCAUUCUUCUCUGUGGACUUGCUACCAAGGAGCUCACACACAUGAGCUAAUGCACGGGCCUCUGACUCUCACACUGUGUGCCCCUCACGUGUGCCUAACUCACAGGCCUCUGACUCACAUAUCUUGUCUUUCCCUGUACCCCCACUCACCCGCGUGUCUUUCGGGAGCUUUUCUUUUCUUUUCUUUUUUUUUUUUUUUUUUUGAGAUGGAUCUUGCUCUGUCACCCAGGCUGGAGUGCACUGGUGCAAUCUCUGCUCACUGUAACCACUGCUUCCCAGGUUCAAAUGAUUCUCCUGCCUCAGCCUCCUGAGUAGAUGAGAUUACAGGCACCUGCCACCACACCUUGCUAACUUUUGUAUUUUUAGUAGAGAUGGGGUUUUACCAUGUUGGCCAGGCUGGUCUCGAACUCCUGACCUCAGACUAUCCUUCUGCCUUGGCCUCCCAAAGUGCUGGGAUUACAGGUGUGAGCCACCAUGCCCGGCCAUGGGAGCUCAUUUUGCAAGCUCUGGCUGUCCCUCCCCCAUCUGCCUAUUCAUGUAUACUCUGCUAGGCUACAGCCGGGCCCUUCAAGGGGCACAAAUGGACAGUGGGUGGUGGUGGAGGCAGUCCCCCUCCCACCCCACCCCCCCAGCUCACUUGAUGUCCUUCCCCUCUUUUUACUGUAGCUCCCUCCCACCUCUAUUCUUCCUUUAGCCAAGAAGUACGGAUGGAUGAGAUUCUCCUCAGAGUUUUGGGACCGGGAAGAAUGAAGCUGUGGCUGUCAAAAAUGCCUGGUGGACCUAGCGGAUGACACCUAGACAGCAUGUUUGCUGCUGUCCUCUAUGCUGACCAAGCCUCUCCUCUGCAGAUUAAAACCCCUCCGGAUCAGAGCUAGCUCUAAACAGCACCUUGUCGGUUGAGAUUUUGAGCAACAGGGUCCUGCAAGGUGGGCAUAUUUGGCAGCCUGAAGGAGAGGUAGAAUAUUUGCCUAACCCCACAGCUAGUAAACCCAGGACAAAUGCAUCGGCAGCUUCUCAAGGCCAGGGAGAGAGAGCACACAUCUUGCCCUAGGAAAUUCACAGACACGCUGAAAUUUGAUGGGAACUGAUCUAGCCAAAUAGGAGGAGAUCAAUUGUUUGCUAGAAUCAACAGAUCUUCCUGUUUAGUUGCUCAGUAAAAUAUCCUUGCCUCUGGGCACAAUGCACCAAGCUGGAGGAUGCCAUCAAGGAGAAGUUCUUUGCCUGAUCUCAUUGACUUUUGAGCACUUUAAGCCUAAAGGGAGCAGGAACAAGAAGCGAGAGGAAAAGGUGAAGGUUAAAGAGAACUAUUUCGGAGAUAAUAAACUCCUUCUGAAUCCUGCCAAGGCUGGCUGCGCUGUUGUCUCAGAGGGAGAAGAAUAUCAACAUGGACUCCUGCCUGUGGUCUUGAAAUAGGCAAGUCACCAAGGGACAAAGACUGUUCUGUGAGUUUGGGCUCCCUGGGGCAGCUGUUCCUGAGCUGUUACAAUGGCCCUGGCACCAGACACUGAUUCAGAGUUUUGUGGGGAGCCCAGGACAAAUUCUCACUAUUUAAACUAAGACAAGUCCAAGGCUGAAUGCCCUGUCCAUGCAAAUGUCUGCCUGUUAUAUGAAUAGGGAAGCAAAGUGCGUUUCCAGGAGCCACAGUAGAGACCAGGUGAUCAUCUCAUGCUUCCCAGAGGAACCCCGCAGAAUGCCAGCUGCUCCUGUGUUGGUUCCUUUUACGAACUUAGGAAAGAUCAUGUGUGGGGACAGCUUUUCUUCCAUAGAUCACACAUCAAGCUUGGCUCUCAGUCACUGAGGGCUGAGAGGCCAUUACAAAGCCAAAUACACGUGAAUGCUACUGGAAUGUUUUCCCCAAGCUCAACGUGGCUGCUUGCGCUAGACCCACAGCGUCAGACAAGCAACUUCGACAGACACCCAAAUGCCUGCAAAUGCAAGCAAACUACUCCUACCGAGGGGAACCACAUACUGACCGGCCAGCUCACUCAAGAAAAGGUAUGAGCGAAAAUACUGGCAUUAGGCAGAAAUGAAGAAAUUGGUACAGAAAACCUGGAAGGCCUGACCAAUGGGAAAAACAAGGAUAACAUGAGAGAAUCCAACAACAGAAAGGAAGGACGCACCUCUCCUUUGGGCAGGAUUUUCUGUUCAUCCAGUUUGAAGGCUGUUCCUAUUCUUCUCCGAACAAUGGGUGGUUCCUCCCCUGGAUCCAGGGGAUAUUCUACUGGCAGCUUGCCCGUGAGCUCCUGCAUAUGUGAAAUGGCAUUCGGAGUGAGCACAAAUCAGAGUGGGGCGUGUCUGCUUCCUAGAACACACACACACGCACAUACACGCACACAAAAAUGCACGCAUGCACUUCGAUACAGGUCAACGCUUAUGCUAGAAAUGUUCACAUUAAGCACUAUGCCUAAGUAAGAGGUCAAGAAAUGAAAUUUCAUUUCUCUAACAAUGUCUCUUAUGUAGAAUAGUUGCACUUCCAAAGUUUUUUCCAAAGUAAAUUUCUGUAAUUGCCAUUUGACUUUCAUUAUAAAACUUGAAUUUCAUUCAUUUGUUAAGUGAACAGAUAUUUCCUGCCUGCCUCCUCUGUGCCAGGCAAGGUCACCCAGCCAGUGAGGAGCAGUGUCAGCGUGAGUUCUCGGGCCUCUCUAACUCCAAAUCCCGUGCUCUUGACACUGCAUCAAAUAUUCCUGCUCAAAUAUCUAAGUUUAAAGUUUCCUUCAAAUGGAUUUUCACAAGAGGAGUGGUAUCUAUAUGGCAAAUCCCAGAAAAGUGCAUAGAUAAAUAAUUUAGAAACUGAGUAAGGAUAGUAACCUACUCUGGCCAGAUGCUACAGGAAUAGGCUGUACUUAAAAGACAUUAAACUGUUUAAUUUAAAAGUUUUAGUAGAAUGGCUGGGCACGGUGGCUCAUGUCUGUAAUCCCAGCACUUUGGGAAGCCGAGGCAGGCGGAUCUCUUGAGAUCAGGAGUCCGAGACCAGCCUGGCCAACAUGGUGAAACCCUGUCUCUACUAAAAAUACAAAAAUUAGCUGGGCGUGGUGGUAAGCACCUGUAAUCCCAGCUACUUGGGAAGCUGAGGCAGGAGAAUCGCUUGAACCCGGGAGGCGGAGGUUGCAGUGAGCCAAGAUCAUGCCACUACACUCCAGCCUGGGUGACAGAUCGAGACUCUGUUUAUUAAGGAAAAAAAAAGUUUAGUAGAAACUGAACAUAUAAUCCAUGUUAUUGACAAGGCUACUAAAAAAACACUUGUUUUGUGUAUUUUGGGCCCCGGAAAUCUACUUGUUGUGGGUACAAGGACAGUGAAUUUAGUUGACAGACUUCCAUGGUGACAGUGAUCCUGGUUAAAGGCUAAGGAUCUGGGGGCGAUUCAAGAUUAGAAUCAGGCUCUCUGUGAGUGAGUUGUAUCAGGGCUGAACAAUGAUCAAAUCAGAGUCAGUGGCUGCCCCACACUGUAGAGGCCAGGCAUCAAAUUCAAGAAGUCACUUCCAGAGACCAGAAAAGGCUGGGGGACCAACUGUGCAUCUGUCUCUAAUGGCAAAGUGGGCACUUCCAGGCCAAGCCCAGCUCUGGCUUUUCUAGCCCAAAUCAACGCAGAUGCUGCACAAAGACUGAAGGAGCUGCUCUGACAAGGAAGUUCAGGAGGCUUUUCUCAGGAAUAUCCAUCAUCUACACAGAAAGCUUUUGCGCAGGGCAGCCCAGGGCUGAGUGCCCAGCAGGCGGGAAAAUCCAAAUCAUGAGAGUGUGAUGCUGGCCCUUCUUCUCCAACUGCUGUGUGCACAUGUGUACGCAUGUAUGCAUGUGCAGGCAUGGUGUGUGCAUGUGUGUGCGUGUGUACAUGUGUACACGUGACAUGAGCAUAAACACAUACUCCGUCACUCGCCUGCUUCUCCCUCGCUGUGUUCAGAUUGCCGGGAAAUGACCCCGUGGACUUUAUAUUCCUCAAUGUAAGCAUUUCAGAGCACAAUGGCCAACUAUCUGAGUAUCAGACUCUGCAAUUUUCUUCCCUGGUUUUUUCUUUAAAAAAAAAAUGUGGUUCAAAUGUCUCCAAAGUAGUUAAGUGUUUAUUCCGCAACUUUUUUUUAAUCUGCUUCCCUAAAAGUCUAUCUAUAAGUAACACAACUAUUGAGGGUUUUAUAUUGUCAGGACUUGAUUUUUUUUUUUUACUUAGAAAAUUCCAAAAAGGAGGGAAAAGUUGUUAAAAUUGCCAUGGAUCUGUAACUCUAAACUGUUGGUGGUUUUAAAAUGUAGUUUAAAAAAUGAGGCUACUGAUUUUUUUCACCAUCCACUUGAAGGUAUUUGAGUCGAAGUCUUGAUUCUCCAGAUAUUUAAUCUGAUUUCAUGUGUAACUGGAGCUGCACGCUGAAGACGUAAUUUAACACUCUGCAGUGGGGCCUCGGCUUGGUGCCUCCCUAUAUCCUGCCAAAUGCUCUCCCCCUCCAUCAUUCUAGUUGCCCCCCUCCCCAGGGGUCAAGCAGCGCGUCUUGAUACUCUGAGCUGAGGGGAGAGAUGCAGGAACAGCACAGAUUUAGCAAGACCUCCCCCCAGCCCUUGACUACACAUGCGUCAAGAGGCUAUGGUGGGACUAACUAUAGGGAAUGAUCACAGGAGAAAUCUACCUGCAACUGAUUUCUUGUUGGGUUAUUUCUUCCACUCAAGUUACAUUUUCUGGUGUUAACAUUAUAAGAAGUGGCAGCUUUGUUUUCCUUCUUUUGUUUUUGUUUUUAAGAGCGAUGGUGAGAUUUUUUUAUAAUGCAUGCUCAUCUUGCCCUGACAUGUUCCUUACCUUUUUGAAACGUGGAUUCCCUGCCGGGUUUAGGGACUUUUUAUUAAAAACAAAACAAGGCUUUCCAAAUUAUUAAAGGCAGACACCCAAACUCAUAUUUUUUCCAAUCCUUCAAGCGUAUUCUUUAUAAAAAUGUUGCUAAUAUUAACAGUAUCACAUAGCGCAUUCCCCAGCCAGGCCAAUUGCUUUCCUAAGAUUUGCAAUGGAUUUGUGCUAAUGUGGUUCUGCUUUGAGCUGGCUCCGGUUUAAAUCAAUCCAGACCAUAAUUAAGCCAAGUUGAAAUGUAAUGUGAUCUCACUCCACGGCCCCUUGUUUCAUUCUUCCCGCUGCAAGGCCUUAGUGUUUGGGGGAGGGGUAUACGUCUCUUUGACUUACUUUGGGAACCUCUUUUGACUUCCCAUUCUCAACUGUUUACCGGCGAAGCUCUUUCUAAGGUUAGGUGGUGCACAGUUGCUCCUGCCCUGGAGAGCUCCCACCCCAUUGUGCCCAUGUGCACAAUGCACACAUGUGCAUGCGUGCGCGCGCGCACACACACACACACACAGAGUCAUGUGUAUUGCAUUAAAACAUGAAGCCUUCAAACACUUCUAACAAAUAGUCAUGAAAUAAACAGACAAAGGUGGAAAUGGAUAUUUAAAUAAAUAAAGACAGCAGCUUGCAGCAACUUCUGUGAGACUAGCACAUACAUAGGGUCGAGAAAGCAUUGCUUUUUUUUUUUUUUUUUUUUUUUUGAGACAGGGUCUUGCUCUGUCACCCAAGCUGGAGUGCAAUGGCGUGAUCACUGCUCACUGCAGUCUCAACCUUUCAGGCUCAAGCGAUCCUCCUGCCUCACUCUCCUGAGUAGCUGGGACUACAGACACACACCACCACCUCUGGCUAUUUUUUUGUAGAGACAGGGUCUCACUAUGUUGCUCAGGCUAGUCUCCAACCCCUGGUCUCCAGUGAUCCUCCUGCCUCAGCCUCCCAAAGUGCUAGUAUUACAGGCAUGAGCAGCUGUGCCCAGCCUGCAUAAAAUUUAAAAAUGUCAUUAGGCUAAGAUUUCAUUUUUUAAAAUGAAAAAGCUAAACACCAGAUCACAGGGUCUAAAGGUGACUAUAUACCAAGUGAGAUCGUGGUUUCCUUGUUGACCACCAGUGUUUCUCAAUAGGAUGUCCAAAGACAAGUCUGAAAUACCCUUAAGAAAGAACAAAAGCCACCACAACAAUAAACUCAGGCACAAAAUCUUGGGAGGAUGGUGGCCAGCCAUUAUGAUCGAUGAGGCACUAUCACGUGAGGAGAUGCUUUAUGAACCACCAUGCAAGUAUGAGGGAUGAGGGAUCAUCAUUGGGACUUGUCGCUUGGACUCCCAUGGGGUCCUCUUUGGGAUUUUGCCAGCACCAACUUUAACUGGUCAUCACAGUGCUUCAUCAACCAAUUCUUUGAUGGGUUUAGGGACUUUUUCUUUUGUUGAAAACAAAACAAGGCUUUCCAAAUAAUUAAAGGCACACACCAAAACCCAUAUUUUUUCCAACCCUUUAAGCAUAUUCUUUUAAAAAAAUUCGCUAAUAUUAACAGUAUCACAUAGUGCAUUUCCCAGCCAGGUCAACUGCUUUCUUAAGAUUUGCACUAAUGCGGUUCUGCUCUUUCUCUGACAAAGCACAUUAGAGAGGUUUGGAUGUUUCCAACAUUUGUGUUUCAGGAGAGCGCUCGCCGCCCAGAUAGGCCCUCUUUUUAUCACUACCCUUGCCUUCUGUCAAAACGAUCAAAUGACAUCAGUCAAAUGACAUCAAAAAGAUCAAAUGACAUCAGAAAGAUCAGUGACAUCACAGACAACACCAAUUUCAACGGGAUGAGCUAGGAAAGGCUUACAGCUUCUCGGAGACACAGCUUCUUCAGUUCCUCCAGCCUCUGACGCAGGGUUUCCUCCAGAGCUUCCUGCCUGGACUUCAAGGCAGCCAGCAUGUCCUUCUUGGCCGACUGCGAGCUAUCUGAUUCCUGAGAACCUGUCGAUAAACAGUGGGGUUACUUGGCCAGCUGACAGGGGACACACAUCUGGACCACUAAUGAAUUUAACUGGAGCCCAUGCUGCGGAGAUGGGAUUUACCCCAGGAAUCAAGGGAGUGUGAAAUAAAACAGGUGCUCAGCACUCUAACUGUGAGAAGCACAUUCCAGCACUGCAUGGAAUUUAUAGCCAGUCACAAGAAAUGGCAGGAAGAUGGACCCUCCUGAAAAAGAAGUUUAUCUUUCUCAAUUAUCUUAAGAAAUGUCACAUACCUUUUUAAAUUUUACUAGCAAAUUCUAAUAGACUUUACACAAGAAAGGGGGAAAGAAAAGCUCAUGUCAGCAAUUUUAAUACGUAUUGAGUUAUUUAUCUUUGUUUGAGACAGUCUCACUCUGUCACCCAGCCUGGAGUACAGUGGCAUGAUCUCGGCUCGCUGCAACCUCCGCCUCCCAGGUUCAAGUGAUUCUCGUGCCUCAGCCUCCCGAGUAGCUGGGGUUACAGGCAUCCGCCACCACACCCGGCUAAUUUUGUAUUUUUAGUAGAGAUGGGGUUUCGCCAUGUUGGCCAGGCUGGUCUCGAACUCCUGACCUCAAGUGAUCUGCCUGCCUUGGCCUCCCAAAGUGCUGGGAUUCCAGGUGUAAGCCACCGUGCCCAGCCCUAAAACGUAUUUAAAAUGUUAUUUUGUUCCCUUAAAAAUACUUAUUAUUUUUGCUUAGUGCAAAGAUAAUGUGUGUUUAUGAUGAAAACCCUGAAAAUGUAGACAGGUAUAAGAAAUAGUCCAUUAACUAAUCACCCAGAAAUAACCAUUGCUAUGCAUUUUCUUUUGGCCUUUUUUCUAAGUACAUAUAUUUAAAAAAUAAAAUUAGAAUGCUAUUGUAUUUUUUAACUUCAUGUUUUGUAUCAUGAGCAAAUUCCCUCCUAAUAAAAGUUAUACAUAUUUUAACAUACUUUUCCUGGGUAAAACAUGAUGAUUCAAAUAGCAGAGUGCUCGAUAGGAAACCUUGUGGAAGGCAAACUUCAAACCAAACCAAAGGAAAAUAAGCUGAAAUGCCAUCUGGAGGAAUUUAGGUUAGACCAAAGGAGUAAUUUCUGGGCUGCCAGUGUUUGGAUUCUGAAAUAACUUUCCUGGAGUGAAGCUAUUGUACUUUUUCUACCUUGAUGGGUUAGAAAAGGAACACUGACUCUCUACAAAGGGAAAAGCUGAUUAUAACUUUUCUUUUCUUUUUCUUUUUUUUUUCAGACAGUUUCACUCUUGUUGCCCAGGCUGGAGUGCAGUGGCACCAUCUCGGCUCACUGCAACCUCCGCCUCCUAGGUUCAAGAGAUUCUCCUGCCUCAGCCUGCCAAGGUAGCUGGGAUUACAGGCACCCGCCACCAC